rnacentral:rRNA from 1 species
AGAGUUUGAUCCUGGCUCAGGAUGAACGCUGGCGGCGUGCCUAACACAUGCAAGUCGAGCGAUCUUCUUCGGAAGAGAGCGGCGGACGGGUGAGUAACGCGUGGGUAACCUGCCUCAUACACAUGGAUAACAUACCGAAAGGUAUGCUAAUACAAGAUGAUAUAAGAGAUUCGCAUGGAUUUCUUAUCAAAGCUCCGGCGGUAUGAGAUGGACCCGCGUCUGAUUAGCUAGUUGGUAAGGUAACGGCUUACCAAGGCGACGAUCAGUAGCCGACCUGAGAGGGUGAUCGGCCACAUUGGAACUGAGACACGGUCCAAACUCCUACGGGAGGCAGCAGUGGGGAAUAUUGCACAAUGGGCGAAAGCCUGAUGCAGCAACGCCGCGUGAGCGAUGAAGGCCUUCGGGUCGUAAAGCUCUGUCCUCAAGGAAGAUAAUGACGGUACUUGAGGAGGAAGCCCCGGCUAACUACGUGCCAGCAGCCGCGGUAAUACGUAGGGGGCUAGCGUUAUCCGGAUUUACUGGGCGUAGAGGGUGCGUAGGUGGUUUCUUAAGUCAGGAGUGAAAGGCUACGGCUCAACCGUAGUAAGCUCUUGAAACUGGGAAACUUGAGUGCAGGAGAGGAAAGUGAAUUCCUAGUGUAGCGGUGAAAUGCGUAGAUAUUAGGAGGAACACCAGUAGCGAAGGCGGCUUUCUGGACUGUAACUGACACUGAGGCACGAAAGCGUGGGGAGCAAACAGGAUUAGAUACCCUGGUAGUCCACGCCGUAAACGAUGAGUACCAGGUGUCGGGGGUUACCCCCCUCGGUGCCGCAGCUAACGCAUUAAGUACUCCGCCUGGGGAGUACGCUCGCAAGAGUGAAACUCAAAUGAAUUGACGG